rnacentral:lncRNA from 1 species
UUUCACAGUCCUAGAAAGCUCCAUCUUUUAAUUAUAAAUCUCUAGACACAGCCUAGAAUGGAUUCUUUAUAAAAUCAAACAUUAAGAUAGAGUCAAUAUUAUGCCUGUGACCUAACAUAUUCCUCUUGGUUAGAUUCAGGGGGCAAAUACGUUCAUGUCCCCGUUAAUACAUGAUUCUUACCAUUUCUCAAGCUUUAACACAAGGAUAUGAAAUCACAGCACUUUAGCAUCAUGGAAGGGGUCAUUGACUGGGGUAUCAGCACCAAUUAGGAGGCUGUCAUAACAAUUUGAGUGGGCAGUGGUGCAAGGUAGACAGUGAGAAGUAGUUGGAUCGAGAAUAAUUUCUGAAAGAAGACUCAGUAGGUUUUGCUGGAGGAUUGCGUGUGAGUGUGAGGGCGGAGUCAGAGGUGACUCCAAGGUUUUCCGUCUGAGCAGACGGAAGGAUGGACUCGCCAUUGACUGCCAUAAGGAGGGUUGGAAGGACAGCAAGCUUUAGGGGAGAACUCAAGAGUGUGAUUCUGAACUGCUAAGUUUGAGAUGCCUUUGAGACUUCCAAGGGAAGAUGCCAAGGAGUCAGCUGGAGUAAGAGUCUGUGUGUAGGUGAGAGGUCUGGGCUGGACAGAGAAAUCUGCAAGUCAUUAGUGCACACGUGGUAUUCAAAGACUUGGAAGUGAGGAAAGAUGAGAAGAGGACUGAGGACAGAGAACCGUGAGACGUGCCGAUGCACAGAACCAGCAAAGGAAACUGUGAAGAAGUGGCCUGAGACGGAGGGGGAGAGCCAGGGGAGCGGGUGUCCCAGAAAACAAAAGAAUGCUGUUCCAGAGGAAAGGAGCAAUUGCCUCUGUCAACUGCUCCUAAAAAAUUGAGAAAUGGUCAUGAGUGAUGUAGGUAAGAAAAGUUUGCAUAGAAUAGUGGGGACCCAAACCCUGAGCAGAAUGGGUUGGUUUUAAGAGAGAACAGGUGAAAUUAUUGUUACAUAAUAUAUACCACGAUAUUGCUACAUGGUUAUUCUUACAUAGUAUUAAAGUUAUAUAAGAAAAUUCUUUAUUUUUUACAGACAUGUCCUGAAGUGUUUGAGUGAAAUGUCAUGUUGUCCGGGACUUACUUUAAAAUACUUCAGUGCGGAAAAAAAGAAAUGAAGCAAAUAAGUACCACAUUCAUAACUGUUAACCCUGGGCGAUGUUAUAGUUUUCUCUAUUUUUAUAUAUGAUUGAAAGUAUUCAUAAUAAAAAGUUUUUAAAAACUUAAAGGAUGUGAAUGGGAGGAAAGGAAUUAGAGGCAGCAGAAAUGCACAAAUCUUUUGAGGAGUUCUGCUAUGAAGGAGAUGAAUAAAUGGGCAGUACUUGGAUGGUCUCGAUGGGACAAGUUCCAGGGUGUUUGGGUGCUGCUCUGGGAACAUGGACGAGACGGGCAGGGCG